ACUUUACUUUUUUAAAUAUUAUUUUGGAGUGAAAGAACACCAUUAACACACUGAAAACUUUUAUCAUUUUGCUCAAAUUCACACUCCAGUUUCAGUUAGUGUAGUUAACUUCUUUUUGAGUUGGAUAACAAUAUUAGUUUGGGCAUAAUUGUUGCUAAAACGACAUAAACCUUUAGAAAGCAUUUGUAGUAGAGGGAGCCAUUAUUGUUCACAUGGAACAUAUGAAUUUUAAGGUGCCUGAACUUUGAUUUAUAGUCAUUGCAAACAUAAAAGGGUAUCUAAAAUUCUUAUGUAGUUAUUAAUGUCUAGUUAACAUUCUUGGUCUGACUACCAGGGUAGAGCAACACCAGGAAACUAUGAUUUCCAGAUUGGAUUAUUUCCCUGUUGAAAGAAUAUUUCAUGGAAUUUGUCUUUUGAUAUCCCAGUCCAUAUAUGAUACAAAAAGAAUAACAAAUAUUUAUUGAGCAUCUGCUACAUAUUAGAUACUAGGGAGGGAUAUAAACUUUAGAUGAUAUAUGACUGUUGAGCCCCAAUGAGCAUAUAGCCUUGUAAGGAGCUAUGAUACCAACAAAAGUAGCUAUAAUAUACAACAUCAUAUCAUAAGAAUUACCCCCAAAAAAGUAUUGCUUGAGAGCUGAGUGAAGUGUGAUUAUCACAAUUUAAUAGGAAUUGACUUUCUGGAAGAGCUGUUAUUUGAGUUGGGUUAUUAAAAAUGAAAAAAAAAUAAACAGUAUAAUAAGAUAAGGAACAGGGUCAUUCUAGGUAUAGAUAUUAAUAUAGACCAAUGGUUCUCACCCUGUCUAAUGUGACCCUGCAAUAUAGUUCCUCGUGUUGCAGUGACCCCAAACCAAAAAAUUAUUUUGGUGGCUACUUCAAAACUGUAAUUUUGCUACAGUUAUGCUUCAGAAUGUAAAUACCUGAUAUGUGUUAUGUAUUCUCAUUGCUACAAAUUGAGAGGUUGAGAACCACUCAUAUAGACAAUGAUGAGGUGUUUUUAUCAGUUCUAAGACAGAGGAGUAGCAAAGGCUAGGCAAUCAGGGUUAAGUGACUUGCUCAGGAUCACAGAGUUAGGAAGGGUUUGAGACCAGAUUUGAAGUCUUCUUUGACUCCAGACCUGGUGCUCUAUCCACAGUGCCAUCUAGCUGCCUCAGUAUGGACAAUGUUCUGGAAGAAAUUUAGUGGGUACAAAGUAGUCUAUUUGAGCAAAAGCCAAAUAGAAGAGAACUACUGGUGCUAAAAGAUAGAGCUGAGGCAGAUUCUGGAGGCAGAAGAAUUUUAAAUUUUAAAUUUCAAAUAUUUGAAAUAUUAGAGAACCACUGAAAACUUUUCAUUGUUGAAGGGAUCUUGAGACAAGAAAGAUUAUUCUGUCACUGAUAUGAAGGAAGAAUUAGAAGGAAAAUAUAAAGGUCAUAACACAUGAGAGAGAGGAAAUAGUCAAAGGUAGUUACUUUGGGGAACAGUGGUGCUAGAAAGAAAGUUAAUUGCAAGAAAGAACACAGUAGGAGAAAAGAAUACCAACAUAAAUGAACUUGGAUAACUCUUCGGAUGUAUAUAAAUUCAGUGAGUCUGUAUCUGUUAAUAUGACAAACUAGAUCAACAGUGGUGAACUUUUUAGAGACAGAGUGCCAAGCCCUGCACCCAUUUCACCCCUAGAUCGAAUGGUGUACCCCCCCCCCCC